UUUAAGUGCAAAUAUUAGAUUUCAUGCACAACUUUAAUUAUUCGUCUUAUUUAAAAAAAAUAUGAUUAGUAUUUUUAUUAUUAUUAGAUGAUAAAACACGAAUAAUACUUUAUGCGUGAGUUAUGUUUUUAUUUUUCCAAAAAAAUUAAAUAAGAUGGACGAUUAAAAUUGGGCACGGAAAAUCAUGGCUGCACUUAAA
rfam:Oryza sativa Japonica Group DNA, chromosome 11, cultivar: Nipponbare, complete sequence.